rnacentral:rRNA from 1 species
CUCAACCUGGGAACUGCAUUUGGAACUGGAAGACUAGAGUGUAGCAGAGGGGGGUAGAAUUCCACGUGUAGCAGUGAAAUGCGUAGAUAUGUGGAGGAAUACCAAUGGCGAAGGCAGCCCCCUGGGUUAACACUGACGCUCAUGCACGAAAGCGUGGGGAGCAAACAGGAUUAGAUACCCUGGUAGUCCACGCCCUAAACGAUGUCAACUAGGUGUUGGGGGAGGAGACUUCCUUAGUACCGUAGCUAACGCGUGAAGUUGACCGCCUGGGGAGUACGGUCGCAAGAUUAAAACUCAAAGGAAUUGACGGGGACCCGCACAAGCGGUGGAUUAUGUGGAUUAAUUCGAUGCAACGCGAAAAACCUUACCUACCCUUGACAUGUACGGAAUUUACCAGAGAUGGUUUAGUGCUCGAAAGAGAACCGUAACACAGGUGCUGCAUGGCUGUCGUCAGCUCGUGUCGUGGGAUGUUGGGUUAAGUCCCGCAACGAGCGCAACCCUUGUCAUUAAUUGCCAUCAUUUAGUUGGGCACUUUAAUGAGACUGCCGGUGAUAAACCGGAGGAAGGUGGGGAUGACGUCAAGUCCUCAUGGCCCUUAUGGGUAGGGCUUCACACGUAAUACAAUGGCGCGUACAGAGGGUUGCCAACCCGCGAGGGGGAGCUAAUCUCAGAAAGCGCGUCGUAGUCCGGAUUGGAGUCUGCAACUCGACUCCAUGAAG